rnacentral:rRNA from 1 species
GUGAUGACCGUGUAAGCAAAAAAUACGCAGGUGCGUGGAUACGAGUAUCGGAAACGUGAAAUUGGCUGUUGACACCCUUCGAGAGCCCCGUAUAAUGCGCCCUCACGACGUCGGGCGUUACUGCCGCACCGGACUCCGGUCCGGAUUGUUCUUUACCAACCGAGUGGAGAUGUGUGGGGUUUAGGCCCAGGGGGUAUUAUUAGGUUGCUUAGGCACUGGUGAUUACCCUGAGCAGUAUUGUUUUAAAAUGGAUUGAACGAGAGAGUUUGAUCCUGGCUCAGAUUGAACGCUGGCGGCAUGCCUAACACAUGCAAGUCGAACGGUAGCAGGCCUUCGGGUGCUGACGAGUGGCGGACGGGUGAGUAAUGCGUAGGAAUCU